CAAAGUAACCCCAUUUUACGGUACUGAAAUUGGAACGAUACAGAGAAGAUUAGCAUGGCUCCUGCGCAAGGAUGACACGCAAAAUCGUGAAACGUUCCAUAUUUUU
rnacentral:snRNA from 1 species